rnacentral:rRNA from 1 species
GACCUCAAAUCAGGUAGGGCUACCCGCUGAACUUAAGCAUAUCAAUAAGCGGAGGAAAAGAAACUAACAAGGAUUCCCCUAGUAACGGCGAGCGAACAGGGAAGAGCUCAAAUUUGAAAUCUGGCGUCCUCAGGGCGUCCGAGUUGUAAUCUAUAGAGAUGUUUUCCGUGCCGGACCGUGUCCAAGUCCCUUGGAACAGGGUAUCAGAGAGGGUGACAAUCCCGUACUCGACACGACGACCGGCGCUCUGUGAUACGUCUUCUACGAGUCGAGUUGUUUGGGAAUGCAGCUCAAAAUGGGUGGUGAGUUCCAUCUAAGGCUAAAUAUUGGCGAGAGACCGAUAGCGAACAAGUACCGUGAGGGAAAGAUGAAAAGCACUUGGAAAGAGAGU